ACAAGGAAACCAUUUUGAGAGCAGCAAACCGGUGAGCAGGGCUGUGCAGGAGAGGGCAGCACAGGGAAGCAGGGCAGGAGGCUGCUCCUCUUGUACUUUCCCCCUGCCUUGCAGAUGGACAGCCCAACACAAAUGGCUCCAGAUGACACAAAGCCCUGGAGCUCAGACCUCCAAACUGGUGCCCUGCAAUAAAGGUGCUGGCACUGGACCUGCUGAUUGCAGUGGCCUUUUCCACGCUGCUCUGGGGACAGCAACCCGGUGAGCAGGGCUGUGCAUGGGAGAGCAGCACAGGGAAGCAGGGCAGGAGGCUGCUCCUUUCAAUCCUUCCCCCCUGCCUUGCAGAUGGACAGCCCAACACAAAUGGCUCCAGAUGACACAAAGCCCGGGAGCUCAGCCCUGCACACUGGUGCCCUACAUAAAGUGCUGGCACCACACCACCUGACUGCAGUGGCCGUGUCAACGUGGCAUUGCUGACACAGUGAGCCACUAAUGGGCAAGGAAACCAUUUUGGAGCAGCAACCCAGUGAGCAGGGCUGUGCAGGGGAGGGCAGCACAGGGAAGCAGGGCAGGAGGCUGCUCCUUUCAUUCCUUCCCCUCUGCCUUGCAGAUGGACAGCCCAACACAAAUGGCACCAGAUGACCAAAACUGAUGCAGCUCAGCUCACCUCCAAACUGGUGUUCAUGUCCUACAAAGAAGGUAAGUCAGCCACAAACUCCAGGCUCUUGUGCUCCUAAAGGACCAUGGAAGCUGAACAAGGACCCCUUGCCCUACCUCAGUG
rnacentral:lncRNA from 1 species